GUGGGGAAUCUUGCGCAAUGGGCGAAAGCCUGACGCAGCCAUGCCGCGUGAAUGAUGAAGGUCUUAGGAUUGUAAAAUUCUUUCACCGGGGACGAUAAUGACGGUACCCGGAGAAGAAGCUCCGGCUAACUUCGUGCCAGCAGCCGCGGUAAUACGAAGGGGGCUAGCGUUGCUCGGAAUUACUGGGCGUAAAGGGCGCGUAGGCGGACAGCUUAGUCAGAGGUGAAAGCCCAGGGCUCAACCUUGGAAUUGCCUUUGAUACUGGCUGUCUUGAGUUUGGGAGAGGUGAGUGGAACUCCGAGUGUAGAGGUGAAAUGCGUAGAUAUUCGGAAGAACACCAGUGGCGAAGGCGACUCACUGGCCCAAUACUGACGCUGAGGCGCGAAAGCGUGGGGAGCAAACAGGAUUAGAUACCCCAGUAGUCC
rnacentral:rRNA from 1 species